rnacentral:lncRNA from 15 species
AACCUUUAAACUACUUAAGGUCUUAUGUGACAGUUUCCAAGUCUUUGCUGUAGCUGCAUAUCAUUUUCUUUGUGGUAGUUACCAUUAAAUUCCACCUAAUUCUGCCUAAUUUGUGACUUGCAAUUUACCCCAUUGGGCGUAGUGUUGUAAAAGGCUGCACAGAAUUAAAUUGGACUGUUCCUUUUACUCGUGAAAUAAGUACUUCUUCUACCACCACUACCAUACACUCAGAAAUAUCCAUUUGUAACUCUUCUUCCUUUCUCUCACUUUUGCUGCUCUCAUGCUGUUUCUAGUUUUACUGCCUUUUUCUGAUGCUGCCAUUCAUUACUUGUCCACCAGGUAUCCUCAGUACACUCCCUUAUGGUGCACACCUGUGAGCAAUAGUUUAAUCAGCCCUGAUCUGCUGCUUGUCUUUGCAGUCAACAACAGUGGUUGAGGAAACUAUACAGCAGGCCUUUUGGAGACCAAGCUUUUAUUAAAUGAUUUCAGUAUCAGGGAAUGAAUGAUGAAUAAAGAAGGACAAUUGCUUAAACAGCCCAAGUUAUAUUUUAUGUGCCCCAGCUGCAAGAGUUUGUCAUUUUUACUCACCAAUCAAACAUUAUUGUUACCAGCAUAAUAACAUGUGAUCAUCAGUAUUUGUUCAGUAUGUGCUUUCAUUCACAUACGUAAUAUGUCUGUCACAGCGGGUGAGUCCUACAGUAUCUGUAAUCCUUUCCCUAUUUGUUCUGACUGGCAGUGCUUUUCCAAUGAUACAUUUUAUUUAACAUUAUCUGCUUGUGUCCCUUUUAGCAAAAAACUGAAUACAUUCAUUUCUUCUUCUCCUUUCAAUAGUAUAUAUUUAUUUACACAAACAUAUUAAACAAUUUAAAAACCCAGUGGAUUAUCUGAAAACUGUCUAAAAGCUGAAAACAGGAGUAGUUGUUGUUGUUGUGGGAGAUGUUUCUUUUCUUUUUAUACAGGACACUGAUACUCAUCCAAUCUUUUAGCUCUUUUGUAAUUUUUUGUUUUUUGAUUUGUGAAACAUUGAUUGUGUGGUGAGACAUAACUUGCAUGUGGCUUAUUCUCAUCAGACAACUUGCAGCUGGUUUGUGUCUGAAUAACAACAACUGCCUUUCAAAAGGCACUGGUUUUCCAGACCUCAUCCAAGACACAAGUGUUUA